rnacentral:rRNA from 1 species
AGGGCGCACGGUGGAUGCCUUGGCACUAGGAGCCGACGAAGGACGUGACAAACGACGAUAUGCCUUGGGUAGCUGUAAGUAAGCGAUGAUCCAGGGAUUUCCGAAUGGGGGAACCCAACAGGUAAUACCUGUUACCUACAUCUGUUAAGGAUGUGAGGAGGAAGACGCAGUGAACUGAAACAUCUAAGUAGCUGCAGGAAGAGAAAGCAAAAGCGAUUGCCUUAGUAGCGGCGAGCGAAACGGCAGAAGGGCAAACCGAAGAGUUUACUCUUCGGGGUUGUAGGACUGCAAUGUGGACUCAAAGAUUAUAGAAGAAUGAUUUGGGAAGAUCAGCCAAAGAGAGUAAUAGCCUCGUAUUUAAAAUAGUCUUUGUACUUAGCAGUAUCCUGAGUACGGCGGGACACGUGAAAUCCCGUCGGAAUCUGGGAGGACCAUCUCCCAACCCUAAAUACUCCCUAGUGACCGAUAGUGAACCAGUACCGUGAGGGAAAGGUGAAAAGCACCCCGGGAGGGGAGUGAAAUAGAACCUGAAACCGUGUGCCUACAACAAGUUCGAGCCCGUUAAUGGGUGAGAGCGUGCCUUUUGUAGAAUGAACCGGCGAGUUACGUUAUGAUGCGAGGUUAAGUUGAAGAGACGGAGCCGUAGGGAAACCGAGUCUGAAUAGGGCGCCUUAGUAUCAUGACGUAGACCCGAAACCAUGUGACCUACCCAUGAGCAGGUUGAAGGUGCGGUAAGACGCACUGGAGGACCGAACCAGGGCACGUUGAAAAGUGCUUGGAUGACUUGUGGGUAGCGGAGAAAUUCCAAACGAACUUGGAGAUAGCUGGUUCUCUCCGAAAUAGCUUUAGGGCUAGCGUCGACAUUAGAGAUUCUUGGAGGUAGAGCACUGUUUGGGUGAGGGGUCCAUCCCGGAUUACCAAUCUCAGAUAAACUCCGAAUGCCAAUGAAUUAUGGUCGGCAGUCAGACUGCGAGUGCUAAGAUCCGUAGUCGAAAGGGAAACAGCCCAGACCACCAGCUAAGGUCCCAAAAUAAUUGUUAAGUGGAAAAGGAUGUGGGGUUGCACAGACAACUAGGAUGUUAGCUUAGAAGCAGCUAUUCAUUCAAAGAGUGCGUAAUAGCUCACUAGUCGAGUGACCCUGCGCCGAAAAUGUACCGGGGCUAAAACAAUUUACCGAAGCUGUGGAUACCUUUAUAGGUAUGGUAGGAGAGCGUUCUAUGUGUGAUGAAGGUAUACCGUGAGGAGUGCUGGAACGCAUAGAAGUGAGAAUGCCGGUAUGAGUAGCGAAAGACAGGUGAGAAUCCUGUCCACCGUAAGACUAAGGUUUCCAGGGGAAGGCUCGUCCGCCCUGGGUUAGUCGGGACCUAAGGAGAGACCGAAAGGUGUAUCCGAUGGACAACAGGUUGAUAUUCCUGUACUAGAGUAUGUAGUGAUGGAGGGACGCAGUAGGCUAACUAAAGCAGACGAUUGGAAGAGUCUGUCUAAGCAGUGAGGUGUGAAUUGAGUCAAAUGCUUAAUUCUAUAACAUUGAGCUGUGAUGGGGAGCGAAGUUUAGUAGCGAAGUUAGUGACGUCACACUGCCAAGAAAAGCUUCUAGCGUUUAAACAUACUCUACCCGUACCGCAAACCGACACAGGUAGUCGAGGCGAGUAGCCUCAGGUGAGCGAGAGAACUCUCGUUAAGGAACUCGGCAAAAUGACCCCGUAACUUCGGGAGAAGGGGUGCUGACUUAAAGUCAGCCGCAGUGAAUAGGCCCAAGCAACUGUUUAUCAAAAACACAGCUCUCUGCUAAAUCGUAAGAUGAUGUAUAGGGGAUGACGCCUGCCCGGUGCUGGAAGGUUAAGAGGAGUGCUUAGCGUAAGCGAAGGUAUGAAUUGAAGCCCCAGUAAACGGCGGCCGUAACUAUAACGGUCCUAAGGUAGCGAAAUUCCUUGUCGGGUAAGUUCCGACCCGCACGAAAGGCGUAAUGAUUUGGGCACUGUCUCAACGAGAGACUCGGUGAAAUUUUAGUACCUGUGAAGAUGCAGGUUACCCGCGACAGGACGGAAAGACCCCAUGGAGCUUUACUGCAGUUUGAUAUUGAGUGUCUGUACCACAUGUACAGGAUAGGUAGGAGUCUAAGAGAUCGGGACGCCAGUUUCGAAGGAGACGCUGUUGGGAUACUACCCUUGUGUUAUGGCCACUCUAACCCAGAUAGGUGAUCCCUAUCGGAGACAGUGUCUGACGGGCAGUUUGACUGGGGCGGUCGCCUCCUAAAAGGUAACGGAGGCGCCCAAAGGUUCCCUCAGAAUGGUUGGAAAUCAUUCGCAGAGUGUAAAGGUAUAAGGGAGCUUGACUGCGAGAGCUACAACUCGAGCAGGGACGAAAGUCGGGCUUAGUGAUCCGGUGGUUCCGUAUGGAAGGGCCAUCGCUCAACGGAUAAAAGCUACCCUGGGGAUAACAGGCUUAUCUCCCCCAAGAGUUCACAUCGACGGGGAGGUUUGGCACCUCGAUGUCGGCUCGUCGCAUCCUGGGGCUGUAGUCGGUCCCAAGGGUUGGGCUGUUCGCCCAUUAAAGCGGCACGCGAGCUGGGUUCAGAACGUCGUGAGACAGUUCGGUCCCUAUCCGUCGCGGGCGUAGGAAAUUUGAGAGGAUCUGCUCCUAGUACGAGAGGACCAGAGUGGACUUACCGCUGGUGUACCAGUUGUCUUGCCAAAGGCAUCGCUGGGUAGCUAUGUAGGGAAGGGAUAAACGCUGAAAGCAUCUAAGUGUGAAACCCACCUCAAGAUGAGAUUUCCCAUGAUUAU